GUACUGGCGCGUAUCGAGCCCGCGCAGAAUUUGUACGCGCGCGAAGUUUCCCCAAUUCUCUCCCGAACGCGCGCGAAGACCCUCAUAUUCCCCAAUCCUCUCCCCUGUACACGCGCGAAGAUUUCCCCCAAAUCCCACUCCAACGGUGAGAGCGCCGCCAAAAUAGCACGGCGGCACAGCUCAUCCAUAGCCGCGGCGCCCGUGCCCUCUUCAAGCCAUCGCCGUUGCACGCCUGGGAUGCCGCGGCUGCCGCUGCCGCCGCCACUGCUGCAGGGCUCCCGCGGCUGCCGCUGUAGAGGGGUCGCCGCCGCCGCUGCAGAGGGUCCGCCGCCGUGGAGCUUGACCGACAUGCCGCCCUCGACAACAGCUUCAGGCGGAGGUCUCCGUGCUGCUACAACCCUGCCUCCCUAGAAGAAUCCUACCCUGCCUCCCUUGACUAGUACGUCCUCGAUCUGCAACCUACUCAACUAUGGAAAAGCGUCUUCUUCAACUUCAGAAUCAAGGCUCCAUUAGGCUGUUGGUCCUUCGUCUGCACUGUGCUGCCAUUUUUUCAAUUAUCCAGCCAUGUCUCUAGAAGAACAGCGUAGUUGGAUUGUACAGUGGGUGGAAUGAACAAGGGCGCCAUUCUGAAGAGUGGGUGCGCAACACAACAACUUUUCUUGACCAUGUUUUUCAGAUUAUGCCUAAUGCUGACCGGUUUGGUGUGAAGUGCCCAUGCACAAAGUGUCGUAAUAGAGUCAGGCAGAAGAAAAGUCAGAGUGCACCUUUGUCAAUAUGUGUAAUUUUAGUUAUGUGCUCUGUGGACUUACUAAUGCAUUUCAAUUCAGUUUUACAGGAUGGCAAUUUCGCGCCGCCGCCGCCGGGGGUCAUCCUCUACUAGCAGUGCUACUACAAGCCCUCCACCGGCGAAUCAACAAAUGGUGUUGAAAAUAUGGAUAAUACAUUGCAAGGAGUGGAAGAUGGAAUGUUUGGCGGCUUCUUUGAUGCAAAUGGUAAUGAUGCGAAUGGUGUUGCUACUGGAACUUUCUCCCCACCUGGUGAUGAUUUACCUACAUUUUAUAUAUCUCUCAUCAUGGUGAAGGAAGUGGUCUGAACUUUUUUUGUUGAUUAAUUGGAAGCAAAUGGACAAUUAUCCUUUUGGCCAUGCACUUGGUAUGGUUGUGAUGUCUUGGAUCAUUGACUUAUAUGAUGCAUGAUGUAUUAUUCCAGGCUACUAAUUGGCAAUCCUAGGUAGAUGACAUUUUGUGAGUCCUAGGUACUGAGCUAGAUGCCAUCUUUUGUAAAGAGUGGAGCUAGAUGCCAUCUUUUGUAAAGAGUGGUACUAUUGUGUAAACUCUUCGAUGUUGUAAUGUAUAAUGAUGAAUGAUGGUGGUUGAAGUA